rnacentral:rRNA from 1 species
CGGCAAACUCCGUGCCAGCAGCCGCGGUAAUACGGAGGGGGCAAGCGUUGUUCGGAAUUAUUGGGCGUAAAGGGCAUGUAGGCGGUUCGGUAAGUUAAAGGUGAAAUGCCAGGGCUUAACCCUGGAGCUGCUUUUAAUACUGCCAGACUAGAGUCCGGGAGAGGAUAGCGGAAUUCCUAGUGUAGAGGUGAAAUUCGUAGAUAUUAGGAGGAACACCAGUGGCGAAGGCGGCUAUCUGGUCCGGUACUGACGCUGAGGUGCGAAAGCGUGGGGAGCAAACAGGAUUAAAUACCCUGGUAGUCCCC